CAUUAAUUUUUGAGCAACCAGACAAAGUGAGAAUUUUUAGAGACAUCAAACAACAACAAACAUUUGGAAGACUUGAAAGGCACUUGCAACCAUUUAGAUCCAAUCGAGUAAGCCAUUUGAGAUUUCCAAGAGAUGCAUGAAUCUUAGAUAGUCUUAUACAACGUUGAAGAAUCAACUGCUUCAAAUUUGGGACUCUACUGAAGUCCAAGGUCUUGAUCAAGUUUUGAGAGUCACUGAGAUCUAUAAG